rnacentral:rRNA from 1 species
UACGGAGGGUGCAAGCGUUGUCCGGAAUCACUGGGCGUAAAGGGCGCGUAGGCGGCUCAUGAAGGCUGUGGUGAAAGUCCGGGGCUCAACCUCGGAUCGGCCGUGGCGACUCGUGGGCUGGAGCACUGUAGAGGCGGGUGGAAUUCCGGGUGUAGCGGCGGAAUGCGUAGAGAUCCGGAAGAACACCAGUGGCGAAGGCGGCCCGCUGGGCAGUGGCUGACGCUGAGGCGCGACAGCGUGGGGCGCAAACAGG